AACGCACCUUGCGCUCCCUGGUAUUCCGGGGAGCACGCCUGUUCGAGUGUCAUGAAGCUCUCAAGCAGAAUCCUUUAUUGUGAUUCUUGUUUGGAUUUGAACUCUGCCGUGUUAAAGCGGCUGGUUCUAAAAGCAUUAGCUGGUCCUUGAUUUUCUUGGUUCUACUCGGCGUGAUAAUUAUCUAACGUUGAGGACAUCUCUUUAUUGAGGUGGCCAGGGUUUUCUAUGGGUUGCUUCUAAUCGUCUUCACAGACAAUAUAUUUCAAUAUCUGACCUCGAAUCAGGUGGGACUACCCGCUGAACUUAA
rnacentral:misc_RNA from 1 species